rnacentral:lncRNA from 1 species
AAAACAUUAUAAAUGUGAGACACCUUAAAGUUCAUCUCUCUCAAAAGAAAAAUACAAUUUUUCCACCUGUCAUCAAUUGCCAGAAGACUCAACUAAGAUUCUUAAAAGAGUCAACCACAAGCAAAUAAUUCUUUUCUGACUAGAGGUGAAGCCACCCUUUAGAAUAAGCAAUUUCGAUAGCAAACAUAAUUGCAAAUAAC